GCGGGCGUAGCUCAGUGGUAGAGCACAACCUUGCCAAGGUUGGGGUCGAGGGUUCGAAUCCCUUCGCCCGCU
rfam:Novosphingobium sp. Rr 2-17 contig85, whole genome shotgun sequence.